AAUAUUGCGCAAUGGAGGGAACUCUGACGCAGCGACGCCGCGUGAGCGAUGAAGGUCUUCGGAUCGUAAAGCUCUGUCCUUGGGGAAGAAGGUCUUCGGACUUGACGGUACCUAAGGAGGAAGCCCCGGCUAACUACGUGCCAGCAGCCGCGGUAAUACGGAGGGGGCAAGCGUUGUCCGGAAUUAUUUGGCGUAAAGGGUGAGUAGGCGGCCGUUUAAGUCAGAUGUGAAAGCCAACGGCUUAACCGUGGGACUGCAUUUGAAACUGGAGGGCUUGAGUAUCGGAGAGGGUAGUGGAAUUCCCAGUGUAGCGGUGGAAUGCGUAGAUAUUGGGAGGAACACCAGUGGCGAAGGCGACUACCUGGACUGGUACUGACACUGAGGUGCGAAAGCGUGGGGAGCAAACAGG
rnacentral:rRNA from 1 species